AUCUCGGUAUGCCACAUUGGAUGUAGGACCACCCAGUUUCUAUCAAUAACAUCUGGAUGAAACCAACACUUUGCAAGUGGGGGAGCAAAACUGGCCACAGCUUGCUAGUAAAGUCGAUGAUGUGGGGGACGGACGCUUCCAAAUCACAAGGGCAUGACGGGUGCAGGAUGUUCCACUGUGUACCUGAAAAAGUUCCUGAACCACAAUUUCCUAGAUGUUAUGAUGACAUAAAGGAAGAAUCAAUUCUGUUUGCAUGCAAUCAAGCAGGCCC